CAGAACCAGGCUGUGCUGGUUUUGGCUGGGGUAGAUUUACUUUUCUCCUCAGUAGCUGGCAUGAGCUGUGUUUUGGAUUUGUGCUGGAAAUAGUGUUUGGAACACAGGGAUGUUUUUGUUAUUGCUGUCAGGGCUUACACAGAGCCAAGGCCUUUUGUGCCUCUCCCCCCACCCCAGCAGUGGGGGCUGGGGGUGCACAAGGAGCUGGGAGGGGACACAGCCAGGACAGCCAACCCUAGUGACCCAAGGGACAUCCCACAACAUAUGGGGUCAUGCUCAGCAUGUAAAGGGAAGAGGAGUGAUUGAGUGGCUUUGUGGGACUGAAGUGCUGGCUGGGAUUAAACCAUAACACAGAAUUACAAAUGCAGGACCACAACGGCUUUUCAUCAUGUCCCUUCCUACCAAAAUUCUCACAGACAUCUUGGGCAACAGUAAAAGCUGGGGGUGAGAUGGCAGGACCAGCUCUGAAAUCAGCAGUUCUUCUGAGACCUGUGUCUGCUCAUCUGCCUGCCUCAAUCCCAGCAAGCAUACAAAGGGCACUUUAAAUAUAACCUUGGCCUCUGGUACAGAAAUAAAUCACGAAACAUGACCCUCAUGCCAGUUAAAGAAGCAGCAUUGCAAUUCCUACUGCACUGAUUCAUAUUCGUGAGUAUUUCCCUUUCCUUCAAAAGCCACUGUGAGUGCCAGCUCCAUGAAGAAGAGCACAAAGCACGAGUACCAGCCAAGUCCUGCUGAGACUCUGCAGCCUGUGGGUGACAGAUGAGAUCUUUGCUGUUGUGUCCUAUCUCUGGCCAGGGCUGUGGUUUCCCCCAGCAGCAGCACUCAUAGGGAUUGUCUGCACAGUGUCACAGGAGCCAAUAACUGGAAAUGACAUUUUAAAUUCCCUGCUUCAGUUUGGUUUCUGAGGGAAACCCACAGGGUGGCGACUGCAGGCAGGAAUAGCUCAGGUAUCUGGGUUCCCAGGAUAUCCCACUCUCAGCAAACUCUGCCAUGGCAAAACCUGUGCAUCAUGUCUCCAU